rnacentral:rRNA from 1 species
UACGGAGGGUGCAAGCGUUAUCCGGAUUCACUGGGUUUAAAGGGUGCGUAGGCGGGUUGGUAAGUCCGUGGUGAAAUCCCCAAGCUUAACUUGGGAACUGCCGUGGAUACUAUCAAUCUUGAAUAUCGUGGAGGUAAGCGGAAUAUGUCAUGCAGCGGUGAAAUGCUUAGAUAUGACAUAGAACACCAAUUGCGUAGGCAGCUUACUACACGAUCAUUGACGCUGAGGCACGAAAGCGUGGGGAGCAAACAGG